UCUUUAAAUGUGGACUAGUAUGAAUGGCACUACGAGGGUUAUACUGUCUCCUUUUUCUAAUCAGUGAAACUAAUUUUCCCGUGAAGAAGCGAGAAUAUAAUUAUAAGACGAGAAGACCCUAUGGAGCUUUAAACAACCUAGCAAUUNNCUUCUAAAAUUAUAAAUUUCAGAAUACUCNNNAUUUUUUAAGCAAUAUGUCUGCAAGUUUUUGGUUGGGGUGACCAUGGAGAAUAACAUAACCUCCAUAUUGAAUGAAUUUUUAUUCUAAGCUAAAAAUUACUAAUUGAAGCAUCAACACACUGACAUCUAUUGACCCAAUAUAUUUGAUCAACGAACCAAGUUACCCUAGGGAUAACAGCGCAAUCCAUUUCAAGAGCCCCUAUCGACAAGUGGGUUUACGACCUCGAUGUUGGAUCAGGGUAUCCCAGUGGCGCAGCCGCUACUAAAGGUUCGUUUGUUCAACGAUUAAAACCCUACGUGA
rnacentral:rRNA from 1 species